GGCGGCUGCAGGAGUGGAGGGCCGGGAAGCAUGGCGGCCGCUCGAACGCCGCGCGGCGGAGGCUGUUAGGGCGUGGAGGGCCCGGGAAAGCGGCCCAGGGACGCAGGCAGGCUAGGCCGCCUCUUUAGGCCACGGAGCCGCGCAGAUCCGGGUCCCAGGUGACCACUCUGUCGCCAUUGGGCGAGACCUACCUAGUCCUGAAGACAACGGACAAAGGGCUUAACCGGCCUGGUAGGUGAGCGAAGUCCCAGACGGCGACGGGUGGAACUGUUAGCGGCCAUCGGGCGGUUGGUCUUCGUUCUACCAGACCUUGCUGUCGAAAGAGAGAAAUGAUAGAAUGACAGGCCACGUUUGGCCCGUUGGAAAUGCCCACCACCCUCUGGGAAGAUUUACUGGCCGUUUAUGGAAGGCCUGUGUAUAUAAUAUGAAAAAACUGCUCUCAACUCCACCCCAACCUUUUAAUAGAAAACAUUUGUCACAUCUAGCCCUUCUAGAUGGAAAGAGGUUGCCGACGUAUGAUAAAGUAGAGUUAGAAAGUCACACGUCUUGUAAAUUCUCAUUUGUUUAAAAUAAAUAAUAGAAAAUACAUGUCUUCUGGAGAUGACUUUUGGAAAUGGAGUUGUUAGACGGGCUCUGGAAGCUAUACGUCCACGUUUGUUCGGUGGGUUAGAUGACAAGGAGCUAGAAGACCUGAGAAGGAAGAGAAGAAGGUUCUUUCCUAGACUGGUCAUAUUUAGAAGACAUUUUCGUAUUCUAUCCAUUGUUUUGUGUGCAUUUUAUUCCUCACUACUGUGUACAUAGUUGACAAUGCUAAGCUUUUUUGAAAUGUCUGUUCUUUUUAGAUGUUCUGAAGUACUGAUAUGUUAAAAUUAGAGGUAGCAAAAUCACAUUUUGUAAGUAUCUUUUUGUUACAAUUCAUAGGAAAUUUUUUUGAGGGGAAUGGCCAAAUCACCUGUGGAGUAAUACUCAUUGUGUUUGUGCAGUGGUUCAGGGGAGGAGAGAGGAGGGGGAGGUGCAGAGAGCUCUAUGCCAUCCUUUUUACAAGAUGAAUCAUUAUCUCUGUGCAUUUUGUUUUACUUAUCUGUGUAUAUAGUGUACGUAAAGGACAAACGAUUCCUAAUUGACAACAUCUAGUCUUUCUGGAUGUUAAAGAGGUUGCCAGUGUAUGACAAAAGUAGAGUAAUAUAUUUUGUACAUUUUGUUUUACAAGUCCUAGGAAAACUAAUAUAUUUUGUACAUUUUGUUUUAGAAGUCCUAGGAAAGAUUGUCUUCUGAAAAUUUGAGCAUUCUUACCCACUAGGUUGAUGGAGAUGGGAAGGGUUCUAGGCCAGAAUGUUCACAUUUGGAAGACUCUUUCAAAUUAUAACUGUUGUUACAUGUUUGCAGUUUAUUCAAGACUGCUGUGUACAUAGUGGACAAAUUAACUCCUUACUUGAAACAUCUAGUCUAUCUAGAUGUUUAGAAGUGCCUGAUGUAUGUUAAAUGUAGAGGUAGUAAAAUACCACUUUGUAAAUAUCUUUUUGCUAAAAUUCAUAGGAAAUGCUGUUUGGAAGUGGAAUUGUUGAACCACCUGGGAGGUGGGAGGGAAGAAGUUGCAAAAGGUGUUUUGCCAUUGUUUAUUAGAAAAUUU
rnacentral:lncRNA from 1 species